rnacentral:lncRNA from 1 species
UUUGAAGGUGCAGCAGUGUCAAUCUUAACCUGCUUCUUCUGCUUCUUGGCUUCAGGUUUGCCUUGAAAAGGAAGAACAAAAAUACAUUGUCAAGGGUCAACUCUCAAUUUCCCCUGAUGUCCCAUCCAAGAGAGGUGUGCAAAUGCAUUAAGGAAGCACGAACUAGAAGCAGAGGAGAAAUGUGCAUACCAUUUUCCUUGGUGAGUGCUGGAAUGAUCUUGUCUUCCUCCUCCUCCUCCUCCUCCUCCUCAGACUCAUCCUCGGAAUCAAAAUCCAUUGUGGAAGCAGGGGAAAAGGCAGGUCAAGGAAACAAGACUCAAGUAGCAUAGUACUCCACAAGACAUGUAUAUGUGUACUACUUAAAAAUUGUUAUAGGGCACACUAAACUUUUUGGGAGGAUCAGUUUCUCUAGCUAGGCAAUAAGCAUCUGUAAUGGUUUGUGGUUUGUGAGUUGUGACUUGGAAUUUAAUCCCCUCUCUUAGUCCAUUAACAUAACACCUGACAAACCAGAGUUGAGGUGUUUCUUCCUGAAUUUAUGCCAUCAAAUCCUCAAAGUCUCUAGUGUAAUCUGCCACAGACAGUUGCCCUUGUUUAAUACAGUAGCAUUGAGCUUGUCAGUUAAAUCAUAAGAUCCCUGAGUGGAAAAUCUUGUGUAUGAAGUGAUGGAGAUUUAUCCUUUGCCCCUCCAUCAUGUCCCUCUGUCCCUUGGUCUUCGGUUGUUGGUGUUCUCGGUCUUGACGCAGACGCAUUGGUGGUCGCCCGGGAGGUGAUCUAUGCUGGAUGGAGCCACGUCCUCGCGGUUUCCUCCGGCUCGGCCUACGGUAUGUAAUCGAUCUCUGCCGCCCUUGAUGCAUUGAUUUGGGUCACAGUCUCCGCCUAGGGAGGGGUUUUGAUCCUUGUGAAAGUGAGAUAAAAAGUCUGGCUUUUGGGGGCGUGCGUAUGGUUCACAAUCUGUUAUCACCUUUGUGCUAUGUUCAUAUGUACAACUCUAGUUAGUUUUGAUUUCCCUGUGGUACUGUCUGCCCAUGAUGCGAAGAAAAAUGUUUUUGUUUUGGUUCAGACUGAAUGGUCCCUCUUGAUUGUAGUUGAAGAUCCGCAUCGGUAGUAAUAAGUGCGAGAAACACACAAGAUGUGUUGGCUGUCAUAUAGGUUGAGAAAUUAACAAUUUCAGACUAGUUUCAGAUUUGGAACAGUGUGUGUGUGUGUGUGUGUGUGUGUGUGUGUGUGUGUGUGUGUAUGGUUUGUGACUUGAUUUGGAACAGAGUUUCAGAGUUUGUUGUAUGGUUAGUCAGCGGCUACAUUUGUUCAUGGUACAGAUUGAUUGCAUGCAUGCAUGCAUGCUAGUAUAAAGAAAGAAAGAAAGAAAGAAUUGCUCAGCUUGUAUAGAGUUUCAGAGUUUGUUGCUAUGCUAUAAAGAAAGAAAUAUAGUGUUUGUUCAUGGUACAAAUUUCAUGCUGAUGCGUCGUAAAGAAAUAUGGUGUUUGUUCAUGGUACAAAUUUCAUGCUGAUGCGUCGUAAAGCUGGUACAGAUUACAUUUUCUUUAACAGAAAUGUCAGGAGAGAUUUGUUUCUAGUUGAUGCAAGGGAGGGACUCCAUUCCUGAGAGAGACAAGAUCAAGUACUAGUGCUGCAUCUACCUAACCUAACCUAGCCUAGCCUAGCCUAGCCUAGGAGGAAAAGGCUCUACUAGAUCUAGAUGAGGUGUAUCCUUGUGAUGAGCUACAUACUUGUAGUUGGCUCACAAACAGAUGUGCACAUAAUGCUUGGUGUGUUUGUUUAUUGUCAACGAGGUGCACAUUCUUGUUUCAUGAUUGAUCCUGGCAUUUUUCAACUAGGAUUCCUUGCAAAUCUCUUCACUUCUUUCAGUGUCGUACAUUCUUGUUUCUGCUCUACCAUGGCUACACGUGAUGGGGGCAUAAAUGGAUUCAAAUAUUUACAAGCAUUUAUCAAAUGUACUAUUUAAUUUAAUCUUUAGAAAAUCUAGUUUUUGCUACCAUUAGACAGGAUUAACUAGGGAAAUCUAUCAUCUAUAACUUGUUGCAUUUUUAUGCAUAUCUCAGCAGCAAAAGACUUUCUCUAACAUUUCACCUCAACAUCAAACAACUGCAGCAACCCACUUCAAAAACACCAAGAAACAAGCCAAAAAAUAUGUCCAAAACCACACAGGAUUCAUUCAAAACCAUGAUGACCAUAGCAUUCCACCAUCCAAUUCCAAUUCCAAUUCCGAAUCACAGCGGCUUUUUUGUUUGAUUCAACAACCAACGCAUCAUCACUAACAGCUCAACGGUUUCUCCCUUCCCUUCCCUCAGGAUCAGGCUAGCUAGGUAGGUAGGGAACACGACAACACAAGGAUAGAUAGCCUAACACAGCAGCAUAACGAUAAUAAUCUCAUAGGACAGACAGAUCAAAAUAAUAGUAACUGGAGCCAGCCAGCCAGCCAACAUCUUCCUCUCCUCUUCACUUGGCCUCGUGCUUGGCCUUGGAGUGCGAAGCUAGAGCG